rnacentral:misc_RNA from 1 species
UGGGUUUGACAUAUACCGGAAAGCCGUAGAGAUACGGCCCCCCUUGUGGUCGGUAUACAGGUGGUGCAUGGCUGUCGUCAGCUCGUGUCGUGAGAUGUUGGGUUAAGUCCCGCAACGAGCGCAACCCUUGUCCUAUGUUGCCAGCACGUAAUGGUGGGGACUCGUGGGAGACUGCCGGGGUCAACUCGGAGGAAGGUGGGGAUGACGUUUACCGACAGCU